UACGUAGGUGGCAAGCGUUAUCCGGAGUUACUGGGUGUAAAGGGCGAGUAGGCGGGAUUGCAAGUCAGAUGUGAAAACUAUGGGCUCAACCGAUAGAGUGCAUUUGAAACUGCAGUUCUUGAGUGAUGGAGAGGCAGGCGGAAUUCCCGGUGUAGCGGUGGAAUGCGUAGAUAUCGGGAGGAACACCAGUGGCGAAGGCGGCCUGCUGGACAUUAACUGACGCUGAGGCGCGAAAGCGUGGGGAGCAAACAGG
rnacentral:rRNA from 1 species